rnacentral:lncRNA from 1 species
UUAACUACCAACUACUAAAUAACUAUCCACUAUAAAUACAAAAUUUGAAUUGUCAAUAAGGACACAUUUGGCCUAAUUGACUUGGAAUGGCCAGAUUGUUCUUCAACUUCAAAAUGAACUUGCAAAGCUUCAACAUAUUCCUUCAUGAAUCCUUGAAGUGCUUCCUUCAACCUCUUGGAUCUUAGCCUUGUAAUUGGUCCUUGAGGCAAUGCUAGCUCAUCAUUUUUGGUGUUGUUGGUCGUGCUUACAUCAUCCCCUCCCUCUUGAAAAGGAUUCGUCCUCGAAUCUGUAC